AGGGAGUUUGCUUUAUGCAUUUUUUCCUCAAGGAUCAGCUUCUGUGAUUGAUUGUAUUUGCGUCACAUGAAUCUCGUUUUCAUUUCUGGCAUUUUUAUGAACCUUAUGAAGGAGGGUGAGCGGAUAUCCAAGUGUACCCUAAACACCAUUACUGUGUUUCCCUGCUGGCAUCAUUUCAUUUUCUUUUGAGUAUCUACAGUCAUGUUCCCCAGCACUCAGAAGUACACCAGGCAGUUGUCACAAUCAAAUAUUAUUUAUUUGAAGACUCUGUAGGAUGCCUGGGCAUCUGAAUGGCUCUAAAAGAAACACUGCUGCUUUGACUGAUUGUGCAAUGGCACUUUUCCUCCCAGCUGCAUCUCAUAAUCUCCGACUGCCAGCAGACCUGUGGCGAACAGAGACACUUCCCCUGCUCAACUGCUUCUCCUCCGACGUCUCUUCCUCCCGCAGGCUGCAUCACCUUUCUUCCAGUGACUGCUCAAAGACAAAAAGCUUUGCACAGGCUCAAAAGCCAAAGGUUUUGAGAAUGGGGGAGGUGGAGAGGGACCUGCCAGAAAAGUGAUGCCCUUGAGGAGGACGUUGUGCUGUUAUUUCUGCUCAGAUGGUGCUGGAGAGCUGGUGCGAGCCCUGAAGUGCUGGGAAUACACAAAAAAAAAGUGUGAGUGGCGGCUUGGGACCAGCUUUUCAAUGAAUUUUAGA